rnacentral:misc_RNA from 1 species
CCAUCAUACCCACAGUCAUGGUCCCAGCCUUGUGAGUCCAGAACUGGUCUCACAAGAAGCUGUGAUGUAGGCUCCAACAUUCGGUACCUAUAAGAAGGACUGUCACUGUCAAAGGAAGGCGGGAGGACGAAUUCGGGUAUGGGAACUGGCACACUUGCUGGACCUCCAUCUUCCUGGUCUACAUCUUCCCCAGUGUAGUCACGAUCACUUCUACUAUCUUUGCCUUUCUUCUUGAGCUCCUUCAACUUUUUCACCCCCUCUAUCCACUGCUUCUUUUGAAGGAGUUUCACCCGAUAAUCAUACUCAUCAAAAUAUGCUUGCCUUUGCACUCUGCUAAGCUUAUUAACCUGAGAUUUCUUCAAAGGCUUGAAAGAUGGAAGUUGAUCAUACUCAUCUUCUUCAUCGGAAUCAAAUAAAUCCAUAUCUGAAUCAUCAUCAUCACCACCCUGCCCAGCAGUGAGUUUUGGAUGAGGGCGAGACUGCAAUAGAGAUGACACCAAGUGGGGCAGAGGCAGAGGACGUAGCUGUAAGCCAAACAGCUUAUUGUAAUCAAAAGGAUCUACAGGCUUGGUUAUAGAACUCACUUCUGAUAAAAUCUUCAAUGAGUAGCACAAAAGUAAUAAUUGGGAUCUCCAACUUUGUCCAUUAGGGAGGAUUCUUUGUCCUUGUUUGUUCUUUUCACACAACGGAUGAUUCUCAACAAGAGAUACUGGAUGCCUCAUACUUGGAUACAUUAGACGCAGAUCACCAACUGCUUGGCUGAUAGCCUGGUGCGAUCGUUGAGCAACAAACACCUCAAAACUUAACGGUGAUCCAGAUGGCCCAUCAGGAGGAGUAGCCGCUGCAUGGGUCAGGGUGACAAUGGCGUUUCGCCAUACUGAUGGAGUGAGAGAAUUUGUGAGUGACGCUAACAAUAGAAAAUCAUUAAGGUCUCUUGUGUGAUCAUCUAGCCGAUCAACAUAAAGGACAACAUCUGGAGGGAACUUCUUCGUUAUCUUCUUUAUAGAUACUAAUAUUUUCCUGUUGGUAGCUUCUUCCUUCACAGGGGAUCUGAGACCUGGGGUGUCAAGGAUUCUGAUCCUAACGCCAUCUAUUGCUCCCACAAUCUCCUCAGCUCUAGUUGUGGCAGGUUCAAAUGCAUUGAUCAUGACUUUCUUCUGGCCAAAAAUAGAAUUAAUGGUUGCACUUUUCCCCACUCCACUUUUUCCAAUAACUAAAAUGUUCAAACAGAAGUCUAAAUCAUCUUUGCCCUCAGCUUCAAGCUGCGUGGCCAUUUUCUUAGAAUCUUCGAGGGCAAAUUCUUGGCUAACAUGCAAACCUGAAGCUAGGACCAACCUGUGUAGCACUUGUGCAACUAUUGAAUCUUCAGGAGAAUGUCCAAGUCGCUGGACAAGCCUCAAGAACUUCACCCUAAUGUGUUGUAUCUUUUCAAUCAUCUUCUGUUCUUCCUCACCUGUAUUAUUAUUCACAACAUCCUUGACCAUACCCGAUUGUGAAGCUAGGUUUGUAGUGUCAAAUUUGGAACCUGAACCAGCAGGAUGCCCAACAGAAAAUACUCUGGAAUCAGCAGAAGUUGCAGCGAUACUGUCUCCAUCCAACUCAACUCCAGUUGCUGCUUUCAAAAGAGCCAAUGCAGCAGAGUCAAAUACUUCCUUUGUUUCAUGCUCCUUAUCUGUCUCCAAUUUUUCAUCUGAGUCGGGAACAGUCUGCCCAUCAAUUCCCUCUUGAUGAUCAUGGAAAUCAUCAGCCACUG